AGAACGAACGCUGGCGGCACGCCUAACACAUGCAAGUCGAGCGCCCAGCAAUGGGAGCGGCGGACGGGUGAGUAACACGUGGGAAUAUGCCUUUCGGUACGGAACAACUCAGGGAAACUUGAGCUAAUGCCGUAUACGCCCUUACGGGGAAAGAUUUAUCGCCGAAAGAUUAGCCCGCGUCUGAUUAGCUAGUUGGUGAGGUAAUGGCUCACCAAGGCUUCGAUCAGUAGCUGGUUUGAGAGAACGACCAGCCACACUGGGACUGAGACACGGCCCAGACUCCUACGGGAGGCAGCAGUGGGGAAUCUUGGACAAUGGGGGAAACCCUGAUCCAGCGAUGCCGCGUGAGUGAUGAAGGCCUUCGGGUUGUAAACUCUUUCGACGUGGACGAUAAUGACGGUACCGUAGAAGAAGCUCCGGCUAACUUCGCGCCAGCAGCCGC
rnacentral:rRNA from 1 species